rnacentral:rRNA from 1 species
GUUUGAUCCUGGCUCAGAUUGAACGCUGGCGGCAUGCCUUACACAUGCAAGUCGAACGGCAGCAUGGGUGCUUGCACCUGAUGGCGAGUGGCGAACGGGUGAGUAAUGCAUCGGAACGUACCCGGAAGUGGGGGAUAACGUAGCGAAAGUUACGCUAAUACCGCAUAUUCUGUGAGCAGGAAAGCGGGGGAUCGCAAGACCUCGCGCUUCCGGAGCGGCCGAUGUCGGAUUAGCUAGUUGGCGGGGUAAAGGCCCACCAAGGCAACGAUCCGUAGCGGGUCUGAGAGGAUGAUCCGCCACACUGGGACUGAGACACGGCCCAGACUCCUACGGGAGGCAGCAGUGGGGAAUUUUGGACAAUGGGCGCAAGCCUGAUCCAGCCAUGCCGCGUGAGUGAAGAAGGCCUCGGUGU